UACGAGGGAGGCGAGCGUUGUUCGGAAUUAUUGGGCGUAAAGAGCUCGUAGGCGGCCAGUUGCGUCUGCUGUGAAAUCCCGGGGCUCAACCCCGGGCGUGCAGUGGAUACGGGCUGGCUAGAGGCAGGCAGGGGAGAACGGAAUUCCCGGUGUAGCGGUGAAAUGCGCAGAUAUCGGGAGGAACACCGGUGGCGAAGGCGGUUCUCUGGGCCUGUACUGACGCUGAGGAGCGAAAGCGUGGGGAGCGAACAGG
rnacentral:rRNA from 1 species